GAAUUUAGAUUUAGAUUUUUUUUUCAUUUUCUUUUGUUUUAUCCCUACUCACUUUUGUGCUCUGCUCUCUCUUUAUUCCCAUUACUUUGGUUCAUCAUUUUCCCAAUUUGGCAAUUUCCCUCCGAUUUGGAUUCGAAACUGCGCAUGCGUAGAAAACCCAGCGUAACCAAUCAAUACGGAAAGAUGCAUAAUAGAUUACGGAUACAACAUGGAGGAAAGUGGGUCAGAAAAGUCAACCAGAGAAAAGAAAGACAUAUCCUUUGAAGAUGCUGACAUUCCUUUUGAAGAAGAAAUACUACGUCAUCCUUACAGUGUAAAGUGCUGGAUAAAG